rnacentral:lncRNA from 1 species
AGGUCAAGCACUACUAUAAUCCUCAAUACAUCAUCAAAUCAUUCAUUACAUUACAUGGUCAUAAAUACUCAUUACAUCAUGUUCAUGUCCACUACUAUCUAUUACAACAUACAUGACUUGACUUCACUCUAGCCGACUUCUUGAUCUAUCCUGUACCUGCAACUCUGGGAAUAAAGGGAGUGGGGUGAGCUACUAGAGCCCAGUGAGCAGAAACUAAAAACAUUUGUUUUAAUUCCUCCAUUUUUAGGUAUAUUAUUAUUCAUUUUAUUAUUAUUAUUAUCAUUUAACUUUUUCUUUCUUUUUCUUAUUCAUGCUUUCAUGUAUGCGCCAUAACACAAACAUUUCACAACAAGGAUGAACUUGUCACCAUUUAGCCCCUAUCUUUCUUACUUAUACAUGCCGGGGGCGUAGAGCCGUAGCAGGCACACCCGGACUUCCAUAAUCAGUCAUAGUGCCAGGGGCGUAGAGCCGUAGCAGGCACACCUGGACUCACAUAGGCUAUCAUGACAUACGAGGGCUAAUGGAUCAUUCAACAUUCAUCCACAUCAACAACAAAGUAUGCAAUGCAACAUAUUCGUGAAUUCUAAUGCAAACAACCUAAUAUUGCAUGGCAUAAUGAUGCAUGGGCAAUGCUUUAUGAUUCAUUCAUUUAUUCAUUUACUUUAAAACUUAAGGGGUUGUUCCACUCACCUGAUAACUGAAGCUUUAACAACGAACUCUGAACGACUAUCUCACAACCGGGGGUCUCGGUUCCUCGGGUCCGAACC